CAUCUGGUUGAAAAAGGGGAAAGAAUAUGCACUGUGAUUACUGUUUUCUACUGCUCCACCUCCUGGGCCCUGCUCCCAGAGACAGAAUGAUAAGGAUACUGGCAGUGCCACCCAUAAAUAUUGAAACUGUGUCACCUGAGGGAAGAAAAUGAAGACAUCUUCCAAAAAUGGAAGUUAUAUAAAAACUACUGCGUGGUACAUAAGGGGCGUUCUCUGUUUUAAGGAUUGGUUCUCCUGCUGGGGAAGUCGAAGAAAAAAUUCAGGUGGUGGAAGAGGAAGUCCAGUCAG